AGGCCCGUGGUUGGUUCGGCUGAACGGACCAGCUAGGCCAGUGUCCCCCUCCCUCCCUCACUCUUCCACAUGUGUCCCUCCAUACUCAGUAGAGGACUGUUGUUCUGAUGAGGUGAUUUGAAUAACCACAAAUCCCCUGCGGGAACCCCCAGACAAGCUCUUAGGGUUCAUUAAAGUGUUAGUGACCCUUCUAAGGCUCCAGACACAUGUGAAUGAGGUACUGUAUGUGGGUCUGCUCUUC
rnacentral:snRNA from 1 species